rnacentral:lncRNA from 1 species
CAGAUUUUUUUGAUCAAUAGUUGUAUUUUUUAAAUAUAAUUUUCAAAAAUUCUAUUUUAGGAAAGUUUUCAUUUUUUUCAUUGAAAUAUUGUAGAUUUGGGGUUGUGGUUUAGAAAUUAGGAUAUCAAAAUUUUUGUUGAUAGAUGAGUAUUCUUUUAAAUUUUUUGAUCAAUAGUUGUAUUUUUUAAUAUAAUUUUCAAAAAUUCUAUUUUAGGAAAGUUUUUUUUUUUUCAUAGAAAUAUUGUAGAUUUGGGGUGUGGUUUAGAAAUUAGGAUAACAAUAAUUUUGUUGAUAGAUGAGUAUUCUUUUAAAUUUUUGAUCAAUAGUUGUAUUUUUUAAAUAUAAUUUCAAAAAUUCUAUUUUAGGAAAGUUUUCAUUUUUUCAUAGAAAUAUUGUAGAUUUGGGGUUGUGAUUUAGAAAUUAGGAUAACAAUAAUUUUUGUUGAUAGAUGAGUAUUCUUUUAGAUUUUUUUGAUCAAUAGUUGUAUUUUUUAAAUAUAAUUUUCAAAAAUUCUAUUUUAGGAAAGUUUUCAUUUUUUCAUAGAAAUAUUGUAGAUUUGGGGUUGUGGUUUAGAAAUUAGGAUAACAAUAAUUUUUGUUGAUAGAUGAGUAUUCUUUUAAAUUUUUUUGAUCAAUAGUUGUAUUUUUUAAAUAUAAUUUUCAAAAUUCUAUUUUAGGAAAGUUUUCAUUUUUCAUAGAAAUAUUGUAGAUUUGGGGUUGUGAUUUAGAAAUUAGGAUAACAAUAAUUUUUGUUGAUAGAUGAGUAUUCUUUUAGAUUUUUUGAUCAAUAGUUGUAUUUUUAAAUAUAAUUUUCAAAAAUUCUAUUUUAGGAAAGUUUUCAUUUUUCAAUAAAUAUUGUAGAUUUGGGGUUGUGAUUUAGAAAUUAGGAUAACAAUAAUUUUUGUUGAUAGAUGAGUAUUCUUUUAAAUUUUUUGAUCAAUAGUUGUAUUUUUAAAUAUAAUUUUCAAAAAUUCUAUUUUAGGAAAGUUUUCAUUUUUUCAUAGAAAUAUUGUAGAUUUGGGUUGUGAUUUAGAAAUUAGGAUAACAAUAAUUUUUGUUGAUAGAUGAGUAUUUUAGGAUAACAAUAAUUUUUGUUGAUAGAUGAGUAUUAUUUUCAGAUUUUUUUGAUCAAUAGUUGUAUUUUUUAAAUAUAAUUCUCAAAAAUUCUAUUUUAGGAAAGUUUUCAUUUUUCAUAGAAAUAUUGUAGAUUUGGGGUUGUGGUUUAGAAAUUAGGAUAACAAUAAUUUUUGUUGAUAGAUGAGUAUUCUUUUAGAUUUUUUUGAUCAAUAGUGUAUUUUUUAAAUAUAAUUUUCAAAAAUUCUAUUUUAGGAAAGUUUUCAUUUUUUCAUAGAAAUAUGUAGAUUUGGGGUUGUGAUUUAGAAAUUAGGAUAACAAUAAUUUUUGUUGAUAGAUGAGUAUUAUUUCAGAUUUUUUUGAUCAAUAGUUGUAUUUUUUAAAUAUAAUUUUCAAAAAUUCUAUUUUAGGAAAGUUUUCAUUUUUUUCAUAGAAAUAUUGUAGAUUUGGGGUUGUGGUUUAGAAAUUAGGAUAACAAUAAUUUUUGUUGAUAGAUGAGUAUUCUUUUAAAUUUUUUUGAUCAGUAGUUGUAUUUUUUAAAUAUAAUUUUCAAAAAUUCUAUUUUAGGAAAGUUUUCAUUUUUCCAUAGAAAAAUUGUAGAUUUGGGGUUGUGAUUUAGAAAUUAUGAUAAGAAUAAUUUUUGUUGAUAGAUGAGUAUUAUUUCAGAUUUUUUUGAUCAAUAGUUGUAUUUUUUAAAUAUAAUUUUCAAAAAUUCUAUUUUAGGAAAGUUUUCAUUUUUUCAUAGAAUAUUGUAGAUUUGGGGUUGUGGUUUAGAAAUUAGGAUAACAAUAUUUUUGUUGAUAGAUGAGUAUUCUUUUAGAUUUUUUUGAUCAAUAGUUUUAUUUUUUUAAAUUUAAAUAUAAUUCAAAAUUUCUAUUUUAGAAAGUUUUCAUUUUUUUUCAUAGAAAUAUUGUAGAUUUGGGGUUUUGUAUUUAGAAAUUAGGAUAACAAUAAUUUUUGUUGAUAGAUGAGUAUUCUUUCAGAUUUUUUUGAUCAAUAGUUGUAUUUUUUAAUAUAAUUUUCAAAAUUUCUAUUUUAGGAAAGUUUUCAUUUUUUCAUAGAAAUAUUGUAGAUUUGGGGUUGUGGUUUAGAAAUUAGGAUAACAAUAAUUUUUGUUGAUAGAUGAGUAUUCUUUUAAAUUUUUUUGAUCAAUAGUUGUAUUUUUUAAAUAUAAUUUUCAAAAAUUCUAUUUUAGAAAAGUUUUCAUUUUUCAUAGAAAUAUUGUAGAUUUGGGGUUUUGAUUUAGAAAUUAGGAUAACAAUAAUUUUGUUGAUAGAUGAGUAUUAUUUCAGAUUUUUUUGAUCAAUAGUUGUAUUUUUUAAAUAUAAUUUCAAAAAUUCUAUUUUAGGAAAGUUUUCAUUUUUUCAUAGAAAUAUUGUAGAUUUGGGGUUGUGGUUUAGAAAUUAGGAUAACAAUAAUUUUUGUUGAUAGAUGAGUAUUCUUUUAAAUUUUUUUGAUCAAUAGUUGUAUUUUUUAAUAUAAUUUCAAAAAUUCUAUUUUAGGAAAGUUUUCAUUUUUUUCAUCGAAAUAUUGUAGAUUUGGGGUUGUGAUUUAGAAAUUAGGAUAACAAUAAUUUUUGUUGAUAGAUGAGUAUUAUUUCAGAUUUUUUUGAUCAAUAGUUGUAUUUUUUAAUAUAAUUUUCAAAAUUCUAUUUUAGGAAAGUUUUCAUUUUUUCAUAGAAAUAAAUUGUAGAUUUGGGUUGUGGUUUAGAAUUAGGAUAACAAUAAUUUUUGUUGAUAGAUGAGUAUUCUUUUAAAUUUUUUUGAUCAAUAGUUGUAUUUUUUAAAUAUAUUUUCAAAAAUUCUAUUUUAGGAAAUUUUUCAUUUUUUCAUAGAAAUAUUGUAGAUUUGGGGUUGUGAUUUAGAAAUUAGGAUAACAAUAAUUUUUGUUGAUAGAUGAGUAUUAUUUCAGAUUUUUUGAUCAAUAGUUUGUAUUUUUUAAUAUAAUUUUCAAAAAUUCUAUUUUAGGAAAGUUUUCAUUUUUUCAUAGAAAUAUUGUAGAUUUGGGGUUGUGUUUAGAAAUUAGGAUAACAAUAAUUUUUGUUGAUAGAUGAGUAUUCUUUUAAAUUUUUUUGAUCAAUAGUUGUAUUUUUUAAAUAUAAUUUUCAAAAUUUCUAUUUUAGGAAAGUUUUCAUUUUUUUCAUAGAAAUAUUGUAGAUUUGGGGUUGUGAUUUAGAAUUAGGAUACAAUAAUUUUUGUUGAUAGAUGAGUAUUAUUUCAGAUUUUUUGGAUCAAUAGUUGUAUUUUUUAAAUAUAAUUUUCAAAAUUCUAUUUUAGGAAAGUUUUCAUUUUUUCAUAGAAUAUUGUAGAUUUGGGGUUGUGAUUUAGAAAUUAGGAUAACAAUAAUUUUUGUUGAUAGAUGAGUAUUCUUUUAAUUUUUUUGAUCAAUAGUUGUAUUUUUUAAAUAUAAUUUUCAAAAAAUAUAAUUUCUCAAAAAUUCUAUUUUAGGAAAGUUUUCAUUUUUUCAUAGAAAUAUUGUAGAUUUGGGGUUGUGGUUUAGAAAUUAGGAUAACAAUAAUUUUUGUUGAUAGAUGAGUAUUCUUUUAAUUUUUUUGAUCAAUGUUGUAUUUAAAUAUAUUUUCAAAAAUUCUAUUUUAGGAAAGUUUUCAUUUUUUCAUAGAAAUAUUGUAGAUUUGGGGUUGUGAUUUAGAAAUUAGGAUAACAAUAAUUUUUGUUGAUAGAUGAGUAUUAUUUCAGAUUUUUUUGAUCAAUAGUUGUAUUUUUUAAAUAUAAUUUUCAAAAAUUCUAUUUUAGGAAAGUUUUCAUUUUUUCAUAGAAAUAUUGUAGAUUUGGGGUUGUGAUUUAGAAAUUAGGAUAACAAUAAUUUUUGUUGAUAGAUGAGUAUUAUUUUAGAUUUUUUGAUCAAUAGUUGUAUUUUUUAAAUAUAAUUUUCAAAAAUUCUAUUUUAGGAAAGUUUUCAUUUUUUCAUAGAAAUAUUGUAGAUUUGGGGUUGUGAUUUAGAAAUUAGGAUAACAAUAUUUUUGUUGAUAGAUGAGUAUUCUUUUAAUUUUUUGAUCAAUAGUUGUAUUUUUUAAAUAAUUUCAAAAAUUCUAUUUUAGGAAAGUUUUCAUUUUUUUCAUUGAAAUAUUGUAGAUUUGGGGUUGUUGUUUAGAAAUUAGGAUAACAAUAUUUUUGUUGAUAGAUGAGUAUUCUUUUAAAUUUUUGAUCUAUAGUUGUAUUUUUUAAAUAUAAUUUUCAAAAAUUCUAUUUUAGGAAAGUUUUCGUUUUUUCAUAGAAAUAUUGUAGAUUGGGGGUUGGUUUUAGAAAUUAGGAUAACAAUUUUUGUUGAUAGAUGACUAUUCUUUUAAAUUUUUUUGAUCUGUAGUUGUAUUUUUUAAAUAUAAUUUUUAAAAAUUCUAUUUUAGGAACGUUUUCAUUUUUUCAUAGAAAUAUUGUAGAUUUUGGGUUGUGAUUUAGAAAUUUUGAUAACAAUAAUUUUUGUUGAUAGAUGAGUAUUAUUUCAGAUUUUUUUGAUCAAUAGUUGUAUUUUUUAAAUAUAUUUCUCAAAAAUUCUAUUUUAGGAAAGUUUUCAUUUUUUCAUAGAAAUAUUGUAGAUUUGGGGUUGUGGUUUAGAAAUUAGGAUAACAAUAAUUUUUGUUGAUAGAUGAGUAUUCUUUUAAAUUUUUUUGAUCAGUAGUUGUAUUUUUUAAAUAUAAUUUUCAAAAAUUCUAUUUUAGGAAAGUUUUCAUUUUUUCAUAGAAAUAUUGUAGAUUUGGGGUUGUGAUUUAGAAAUUAUGAUAAGAAUAAUUUGUUGAUAGAUGAGUAUUCUUUUAAUUUUUUUGAUCAAUAGUUGUAUUUUUAAAUAUAAUUUUCAAAAAUUCUAUUUUAGGAAAGUUUUCAUUUUUCAUAGAAAUAUUGUAGAUUUGGGGUUGUGAUUUAGAAAUUAGGAUAACAAUAAUUUUGUUGAUAUAUGAGUAUUCUUUUAAAUUUUUUUGAUCAGUAUUUGUAUUUUUUAAAUAUAAUUUCAAAAAUUCUAUUUUAGGAAAGUUUUCAUUUUUUUUCAUAGAAAUAUUGUAGAUUUGGGGUUGUAAUCUUGAAAUUAGGAUAACAAUAAUUUUGUUGAUAGAUGAGUAUUCUUUUAAAUUUUUUUGAUCAAUAGUUGUAUUUUUUAAAUAUAAUUUUCAAAAAUUCUAUUUUAGGAAAGUUUUCAUUUUUUCAUAGAAAUAUUGUAGAUUUGGGGUUGUGGUUUAGAAAUUAGGAUAACAAUAAUUUUUGUUGAUAGAUGAGUAUUCUUUUAAAUUUUUUGAUCAUAGUUGUAUUUUUUAAAUAUAAUUUUCAAAAAUUCUAUUUUAGGAAAGUUUUCAUUUUUUCAUAGAAAUAUUGUUUUGGGGUUGUGAUUUAGAAAUUAGGAUAACAAUAAUUUUUGUUGAUAGAUGAGUAUUAUUUCAGAUUUUUUUGAUCAAUAGUUGUAGUUUUUAAAUAUAAUUUCAAAAUUCUAUUUUAGGAAAGUUUUCAUUUUUUCAUUGAAAUAUUGUAGAUUUGAGGGUUGUGGUUUAUAAUUAGGAUAUCAAUAAUUUUUUGUUGAUAGAUGAGUAUUCUUUUAAAUUUUUUUGAUCUAUAGAUGUAUUUUUUAAAAUAAAUUUUCAAAAAUUCUAUUUUAGGAAAGUUUUCAUUUUUUCAUAGAAAUAUUGUAGAUUUGGGGUUGUGGUUUAGAAAUUAGGAUAACAAUAAUUUUUGUUGAUAGAUGAGUAUUCUUUUAAAUUUUUGAUCUGUAGUUGUAUUUUUUAAAUAUAAUUUUAAAAAUUCUAUUUUAGGAAAGUUUUCAUUUUUUCAUAGAAAUAUUGUAGAUUUGGGUUGUGAUUUAGAAAUUGAUAACAAUAAUUUUUGUUGAUAGAUGAGUAUUAUUUUAGAUUUUUUGAUCAAUAGUUGUAUUUUUAAAUAUAUUUCUCAAAAAUUCUAUUUUAGGAAAGUUUUCAUUUUUUCAUAGAAAUAUUGUAGAUUUGGGGUUGUGGUUUAGAAAUUAGGAUAACAAUAAUUUUUGUUGAUAGAUGAGUAUUCUUUUAAAUUUUUUUGAUCAGUAGUUGUAUUUUUUAAAUAUAAUUUUCAAAAAUUCUAUUUUAGGAAAGUUUUCAUUUUUUCAUAGAAAUAUUGUAGAUUUGGGGUUGUGAUUUAGAAAUUAUGAUAAGAAUAAUUUUUGUUGAUAGAUGAGUAUUCUUUUAAAUUUUUUUGAUCAAUAGUUGUAUUUUUAAAUAUAAUUUUCAAAAAUUCUAUUUUAGGAAAGUUUUCAUUUUUCCAUAGAAAUAAUGUAGAUUUGAGGUUGUGAUUUAGAAAUUAGGAUAACAAUAAUUUUUGUUGAUAUAUGAGUAUUCUUUUAAAUUUUUUUGAUCAGUAUUUGUAUUUUUUAAAUAUAAUUUUCAAAAAUUCUAUUUUACGAAAGUUUUCAUUUUUUUUCAUAGAAAUAUUGUAGAUUUGGGGUUGUAAUCUAGAAAUUAGGAUAACAAUAAUCUUUGUUGAUAGAUGAGUAUUCUUUUAAAUUUUUUUGAUCAAUAGUUGUAUUUUUUAAAUAUAAUUUUCAAAAAUUCUAUUUUAGGAAAGUUUUCAUUUUUUCAUAGAAAUAUUGUAGAUUUGGGGUUGUGGUUUAGAAAUUAGGAUAACAAUAAUUUUUGUUGAUAGAUGAGUAUUCUUUUAAAUUUUUUUGAUCAAUAGUUGUAUUUUUUAAAUAUAAUUUUCAAAAAUUCUAUUUUAGGAAAGUUUUCAUUUUUUCAUAGAAAUAUUGUAGAUUUGGGGUUGUGAUUUAGAAAUUAGGAUAACAAUAAUUUUUGUUGAUAGAUGAGUAUUAUUUCAGAUUUUUUUGAUCAAUAGUUGUAGUUUUUAAAUAUAAUUUUCAAAAAUUCUAUUUUAGGAAAGUUUUCAUUUUUUCAUUGAAAUAUUGUAGAUUUGGGGUUGUGGUUUAGAAAUUAGGAUAACAAUAAUUUUUGUUGAUAGAUGAGUAUUCUUUCAGAUUUUUUUGAUCAAUAGUUGUAUUUUUUAAAUAUAAUUUUCAAAAAUUCUAUUUUAGGAAAGUUUUCAUUUUUCCAUAGAAAUAAUGUAGAUUUGAGGUUGUGAUUUAGAAAUUAGGAUAACAAUAAUUUUUGUUGAUAUAUGAGUAUUCUUUUAAAUUUUUUUGAUCAGUAUUUGUAUUUUUUAAAUAUAAUUUUCAAAAAUUCUAUUUUAGGAAAGUUUUCAUUUUUUUUCAUAGAAAUAUUGUAGAUUUGGGGUUGUGAUUUAGAAAUUUUGAUAACAAUAAUUUUUGUCGAUUGAUGAGUAUUCUUUUAAAUUUUUUUGAUCUAUAGUUGUAUUUUUUAAAUAUAAUUUUCAAAAAUUCUAUUUUAGGAAAGUUUUCAUUUUUUCAUAGAAAUAUUGUAGAUUUGGGGUUGUGAUUUAGAAAUUAGGAUAACAAUAAUUUUUGUUGAUAGAUGAGUAUUCUUUUAAAUUUUUUUGAUCAGUAGUUGUAUUUUUCAAAUAUAAUUUUCAAAAAUUCUGUUUUAGGAAAGUUUUCAUUUUUUCAUAGAAAUAUUGUAGAUUUGGGGUUGUGAUUUAGAAAUUAUGAUAAGAAUAAUUUUUGUUGAUAGAUGAGUAUUAUUUCAGAUUUUUUUGAUCAAUAGUUGUAUUUUUUAAAUAUAAUUUUCAAAAAUUCUAUUUUAGGAAAGUUUUCAUUUUUUCAUAGAAAUAUUGUAGAUUUGGGGUUAUGAUUUAGAAAUUAGGAUAACAAUAAUUUUUGUUGAUAGAUGAGUAUUCUUUUAAACUUUUUUGAUCAAUAGUUGUAUUUUUUAAAUAUAAUUUUCAAAAAUUCUAUUUUAGGAAAGUUUUCAUUUUUUUCAUUGAAAUAUUGUAGAUUUGGGGUUGUGGUUUAUAAAUGAGUCGAUUACCAUUUAUGACACUUUUUUAUCUUUUUAACACUUUAAGACAACAAUCCGCUGGAGGGACACUUUCUUGAAUCUGAGAGCUGUUGGACAGAAAUGCCAUUGCUCAGAAGAAACGGAAGAUGCGCUUAUGUUUGGUAAGUAUAAUUGUAACUUUCUUUUCUAUUUCUCUAAUGUAUUCAUUUACUAUUUCAAAUUCUAAAAAUAAUAAAACAAAAAUAAUUAUCACAUUAAAUUAUGUAUAAAAUUCUAUCUUUUUAACAUCCAUUUUCAUAUAUAUAUACUAAUAUAUAUUAAAAAAAAGUAUGGAAUGGAUAUCAUAGUGUGGAUAAUAUAGUUAUAAAUUAAUUGUGACAUGGACACAAACCAUAUUUAUUCAUACACUAUUUCAGUUUCUGAUUAAAUAAAUAUAUAAUAACCAUAUAAAAACAUGUUUCUUUUUUCUUAUUAUUUUGAUAUCCAAAUAUAUAUUUUUUAUAUUUUAAUGUCUAACUAAAUUGCUAAAUUAUAAUUUAUUGGACAUAUUUUUUGGAUGGACACAAUAUUUUUUUUUUUUUACAAAAUUCUUUUUUGUUUUCUAUUUUUUUAUUUAAAGAUGUAUAUGACCAAAAAAAUUAGUAUAACAAAGUGAUAUAUAUUUGUUAUUUAAUGAUAAUUAUUUUAUUGUUUUAUCUAAUUUUUAUAUAUAUUUUAUAUUAUAACUUAUAAGAAUGUAUGGAUAUGGAUAUAAAAGUGUGUACGUAAGAUAUGUGGACAUGGAUAUAAAUGUGUAAAAGAGAAUAUCUAGACAUAUUAGUAUGACACACAAGUUGUAUCCACAUCAAAGUUUCUGAAAGAGAUCAUGUUAAAUGAUGUCCAUUAUCGAUUUUUGUGAGCUAGUAGGUGUGGACAUGGAUUAGGAUAUUUUAUAUGGACAUUGUAAUCAUGAAGAACAUAAUUGCAUAAAACAUGUCUGUGGUGUAUACUUGAAAAUUUUGAUACUAAUUAGAAUACAAAUCUGCACAUUUAAAAUUGAGGGUGAAAACAAAUACUUACAUAAAUAUAAGGACCAAAUAUGUAAAUUCAUCAUUCUUAUUGCAGAUCUAAUCGAGCUUUCACCCAUGGUGAUACCAAGCUCAAACCACUGCAGCUUCACCAUAUAAUGGAUGAGACUUCGGAAAUGAGUUGAGCAAGGCGAGGAGUCAACUUGAGCAGCAGAUCCGUGGUUUGGGGGAGGAUUUCGACGAGCUCGAACCCCAUGGCUUCACUGAGCCACCGAGCUUACCGAUGCGAUGUUGAGCUCGAAAUCCAUGUUGAGGCGUUUUCUCUUUCUUUUUUUUUAUCCGUGGAUUCUGUCAUGAUUCGUAAUAAAAGAUAGAAAAACAGACAAAAAUAGAGAUAGACAAAAGGAAUAAGAAAAAGUUGAGAAGAAGGGACAAGCCAAGAGGAUAAGAAUUAAUUGUUUCUUCGAUUUGAUGAAGGAGAGUGUAUCGUGAUUAUUGGAUUUGAGUAUGCGUUAUGAAAAUAAAUAAAAAGAAAAAAAUAGAGUUUAAUAAAAGUGAAUCUGAACUUGAAUUUUGAAAUUCUAAAAUAAAUAAAUUUUUGAAUGAUUUAAUAAAAAGACUUUUGGAUUUAGUUAUAUUUCUAGUUAUUGUUAGAUAAGGUUGAGGGCAUCUAAGACAUUGCACAUAGAAAUUGUGUGCCUCAAGCAACAAGUGUCUAAAUAUGCAAUUCCAAAGACAUAAUGUGUCCUAGAAUGUAAAAAAAUCUUUAUAAAUUAGGAUAUCAAUAAUUUUUGAUGAUAGAUGAGUAUUCUUUUAAAUUUUUUUGAUCUAUAGAUGUAUUUUUAAAAUAUAAUUUUCGAAAAUUCUAUUUGAGGAAAGUUUUCGUUUUUUCAUAGAAAUAUUGUAGAUUUGGGGUUGUGGUUUAGAAAUUAAGAUAACAAUAAUUUUUGUUGAUAGAUGACUAUUCUUUUAAAUUUUUUUGAUCUGUAGUUGUAUUUUUUAAAUAUAAUUUUCAAAAAUUCUAUUUUAGGAAAUUUUCAUUUUUCAUAGAAAUAUUGUAGAUUUGGGUUGUGAUUUAGAAAUUUGAUAACAAUAAUUUUGUUGAUAGAGAUAUUAUUUUUCAGAUUUUUUGAUCAAUAGUUGUAUUUUUUAAAUAUAAAUCUCAAAAAUUCUAUUUUAGGAAAGUUUUCAUUUUUUCAUAGAAAAUUGUAGAUUUGGGGUGUGGUUUAGAAAAUUAGGAUAACAAUAAUUUUUGUUGAUAGAUGAGUAUUCUUUUAAAUUUUUUUGAUCAGUAGUUGUAUUUUUUAAAUAUAAUUUUCAAAAAUUCUAUUUUAGGAAAGUUUUCAUUUUUUCAUAGAAAUAUUGUAGAUUUGGGGUUGUGAUUUAGAAAUUAUGAUAAGAAUAAUUUUUGUUGAUAGAUGAGUAUUCUUUUAAAUUUUUUUGAUCAAUAGUUGUAUUUUUUAAAUAUAAUUUUCAAAAAUUCUAUUUUAGGAAAGUUUUCAUUUUUCCAUAGAAAUAAUGUAGAUUUGAGGUUGUGAUUUAGAAAUUAGGAUAACAAUAAUUUUUGUUGAUAUAUGAGUAUUCUUUUAAAUUUUUUUGAUCAGUAUUUGUAUUUUUUAAAUAUAAUUUUCAAAAAUUCUAUUUUACGAAAGUUUUCAUUUUUUUUCAUAGAAAUAUUGUAGAUUUGGGUUGUAUUAGAAAUAGGAUAACAAUAAUUUUGUUGAUAGAUGAGUAUUCUUUUAAAUUUUUUUGAUCAAUAGUUGUAUUUUUUAAAUAUAAUUUUCAAAAAUUCUAUUUAGGAAAAGUUUCAUUUUUUCAUAGAAAUAUUGUAGAUUUGGGGUGUGGUUUAGAAAUUAGAUAACAAUAAUUUUUUGUUGAUAGAUGAGUAUUCUUUUAAAUUUUUUGAUCAAUAGUUGUAUUUUUAAAAUAUAAUUUUCAAAAAUUCUAUUUUAGGAAAGUUUUCAUUUUUUCAUAGAAUAAUUGUAGAUAUUGGGGUUGUGAUUUAGAAAUUAGGAUAACAAUAAUUUUUGUUGAUAGAUGAGUAUUCUUUCAGAUUUUUUUGAUCAAUAGUUGAAGUUUUUAAAUAUAAUUUUCAAAAAUUCUAUUUUAGGAAAGUUUUCAUUUUUUCAUUGAAAUAUUGUAGAUUUGGUUGUGGUUUAGAAAUUAGGAUAACAAUAAUUUUUGUUGAUAGAUGAGUAUUCUUUUAAAUUUUUUUGAUCAAUUGUUGUAUUUUUUAAAUAUAAUUUUCAAAAAAUUCUAUUUUAGGAAGUUUUCGUUUUUUCAUCGAAAUAUGUAGAUUUGGGGUUGUGAUUUAGAAAUUAGGAUAACAAUAAUUUUUGUUAAUAGAUGAGUAUUAUUUCCAGAUUUUUUUAUCAAUAGUUGUAUUUUUUAAAAUAUAAUUUUCAAAAAUUCUAAUUUAGGAAAGUUUUCAUUUUUAAAUAUAAUUUUCAAAAAUUCUAUUUUAGGAAAGUUUUCAUUUUUUCAUAUAAAUAUUGUAGAUUUGGGGUUGUGAUUUAGAAAUUAGGAUAACAAUAAUUUUUGUUGAUAGAUGAGUAUUCUUUUAAACUUUUUUGAUCAAUAGUUGUAUUUUUUAAAUAUAAUUUUCAAAAAUUCUAUUUUAGGAAAGUUUUCAUUUUUUUCAUUGAAAUAUUGUAGAUUUGAGGUUGUGGUUUAUAAAUUAGGAUAUCAAUAAUUUUUGAUGAUAGAUGAGUAUUCUUUUAAAUUUUUUUGAUCUAUAGAUGUAUUUUUUAAAUAUAAUUUUCGAAGAUUCUAUUUGAGGAAAGUUUUCGUUUUUUCAUAGAAAUAUUGUAGAUUUGGGGUUGUGGUUUAGAAAUUAGGAUAACAAUAAUUUUUGUUGAUAGAUGACUAUUCUUUUAAAUUUUUUUGAUCUGUAGUUGUAUUUUUUAAAUAUAAUUUUUAAAAAUUCUAUUUUAGGAAAGUUUUCAUUUUUUCAUAGAAAUAUUGUAGAUUUGGGGUUGUGAUUUAGAAAUUUUGAUAACAAUAAUUUUUGUUGAUAGAUGAGUAUUAUUUCAGAUUUUUUUGAUCAAUAGUUGUAUUUUUUAAAUAUAAUUCUCAAAAAUUCUAUUU